rnacentral:RNase_P_RNA from 1 species
GAAGCUGACCAGACAGCCGCCGUUUCGUCGUCGUCCUUGGGGGGAGGGGGGGGGGGGGGAGGAAAGCCCGGGCUCCAUGGGGCGGGGUGCCAGGUACCGCCGGGGGGGAAACCCCACGACCAGUGCAACAGAGAGAAAACCGCCGAUGGCCCACGUAAGUGGGAUCAGGUAAGGGUGAAAGGGUGCGGUAAGAGCGCACCGCGCGGCUGGUAACAGUCCGUGGCACGGUAAACUCCACCCGGAGCAAGGCCAAAUAGGGGUUCAUAAGGUACGGCCCGUACUGAACCCGGGUAGGCUGCUUGAGCCAGUGAGCGAUUGCUGGCCUAGAUGAAUGACUGUCCACGCCAGAACCCGGCUUAUCGGGCAGUUUCACUU